UACAGGCUUGAGUCACUGCACCCAGCUGCGCAAAGGUUCUAUAUAAGGAAUUUGAGCAUCUGUGGAUUCUGGGGUCCCCAAGCGUCCUGGAGCCCAUCCCCCACAGACAACAAGGGACAACUGUACUGAGAAUCUUGAGUAGAUCCAGAACCUGAGGAAUCGGCAUUUCCCUGGAUGCUCAAUGUCUGUGUCGAGUGAGGUUGACCUGAAGUGGGGUGGAUGGAGAAGAUGUCUUUUCCAUCUCUGCCCCUUUUCCGCCCUUAUCCUUACUGUCUAUGAUCCCAGGGAGCUCAGAUCCUUCUGUCUGCAGAGCGAGGCCUCUACAAGAAGGCAAACCUUCUCUUGCUAAUAUGGACCAAUUCUUACAGCAACACUUCAAAAUCGAUCGAUGUUACAAACUCUUGUCUGUGUCCUCUACAUAAAACCUUUCCCCGCAAGGGAGAGAGUAGGGCAGAGAGGUGAAGAGGAAUGGAAACUCCGCCACACCACCCCACUGUACUAGAAACAGCAGCUGUGUCUCAGAAACAGGGCACUCACGCUCUCUGGCUCCCAGGUUAGAGAACAAGGCACAGAACGGCCCCUCCCCCAGAAUCACGGGACCACCAACUUGGCAGAUGCAUCCAAAGGCACCCUGACUCCUCGGCCACGUGGAUUGUUGAUCCCAGCAAUGACCAGCCCAGUUAACAAGGAUGUCAGGCUGUUUGGGUCCAGAUCAUUCCUGAGCCAUGAAACAGUUAAGAAAUAUCCUGCCCCACUGGCUGCCGUGCUCAUAAAGGUAAGACCCACGUGUACUUCCUUGUGGCUACAAGACGCUCCGGCCCGCUCAUUUGCUCACACCCAGCAGGCAGAGAAGGCAGCAGCAGGCAGGACCGCCACCCUCCCAUGCAAAUCACCCCCGGGAGUGCAGCUGGGCUCCUCCCGCUCCUCCUGGGCAAUGCUCCUGGGGAGUCUGUGGGGAAGAUGCCAUCCAGGGCGCUGUGUGCUCUUCCUGGUCCUCGCCCUCCUGCUGGAUGUGGUCGGCCUGGUCUUUUUGCUGCUGGGGAUCUUGGCCUCCCUGAGUUACUGGGACUUCUUCGUCUACACAGGUGCCCUGAUCCUGGCUUUCAGCCUACUGUUCUGGGUCAUCUGGUAUUCCCUCAACAUCGAGGUGUCUCCUGAGAAACUGGACCUGUAGUUUGGUCAUGGGAAGAGGAGGUGAGACGCAGGUGCCGUACGCAGACAUGUCUGUGGACCUGGGGCUCUUGGGCAGCAACACAUUGCCGCUUCCACCUAGCAAGCCCCGCCGGGACGAGGUCCCAUCUGAUGGAGGAGAAUCAAUUCAAGGAGAUGCCCUCCCUUUACAGUACACCCUUUAACAGCAUCCAGGAGGAACGAGAGGCUGCAAUGCUGAGGCUUUCAAAGUAUUUACCAGGAUGCCCGAGAACGGCCGUGAUGCCAGGCUUCUGGCAGGUUCCAGGCUCCAUCACAAGCCCAGCAUCUCUGCACCAGAUCUGACAUGGCUGCUGCUGUCCCAGCUCUUUAUGAAGGGCCUCAGUAGCUAUCAAGUUUUUAUGGCAGGAGCCCUGCCGGGGGCUUAGACACCAAAACAGAAGACUCAUCCUUUGCAGUUCUUGUGAAGAAGAACUUUCUUCCCUGUAGAAAAACGAUGAGAACCAAGCCCAAGCACCAAAGUCCAAAUGGGAUCUCCUGCAAGCACAUGUCAAGCAGGAUUGUUGCUAUUUCUCCUCAUUGGCUCUUUGGACAGACUGUGUGAGCUCCUGGAGGGUUCCACUGUAUCUCCCCUUUGAUACUGACCAGUUGGCACGUGCCGACAUAUUCCAACGUGUUGAUUGCAAACGUGAACGUGCAGUCAGUGCUGUGGGCGGGAGGACUCUCUCCUCCUCAGUGGGGCCACACUUUGCACUAUUAGUGCAGCUCCACUUGUUUGCACAGCCUGGCCAUGCAAUGGCUCAUAUUGAGCUUUUAGCCAACUGAAACCCCCUGCGUGUUUUUCUGACAAGCCAGCUAGGCCUCUGCUAUGCUGUCCUUGUGUCUUUCAUUUGAGACCUGAAGGGCAGGACUGUUCUUAUCUUAAGUUACAGCUGGUGGAGUCCAGCCCAAGGACAGCAACUCUGAGAGUCAGGCCUCAUAGGCUAACCACAUAAAUGUGCUCUGCUUCGUGACCCACCAGAGCCCGACCUGCCCCACUAAUUUAUAUUUCCCCUGGCCUAAUUUUGUACUUUUUAUUUAUAUUUCGCCCUUAAAGUGUAUGUGUCUCUUAUAAGCUGCCUCCGAUCUUUCAUGGUACGAGGUGGUUACCUAAAUAAACAAGGAGAUUUGGCCUUUGUUUUCAUGUA